AGAGUUUGAUCCUGGCUCAGGACGAACGCUGGCGGCGUGCUUAACACAUGCAAGUCGAACGAAGUAGCAAUACUUAGUGGCGGACGGGUGCGUAACACGUGACUAACUUGCCCCACACUGUGGAAUAACGGAGGGAAACUUCCGCUAAUACCGCAUGUUGAGCGCGGAUGGCAUCAUCUGCGCUUGAAAGAUUUAUCGGUGUGGGAUAGGGUCGCGGCCUAUUAGCUUGUUGGUGGGGUAAUGGCCUACCAAGGCGACGAUGGGUAGCUGGUCUGAGAGGAUGAUCAGCCACACUGGGACUGAGAUACGGCCCAGACUCCUACGGGAGGCAGCAGUGAGGAAUAUUGCGCAAUGGACGAAAGUCUGACGCAGCAACGCCGCGUGAAGGAUGAAGGUGCUCUGCAUUGUAAACUUCUGUAGGGAGGGAAGAACAACCUGUUAUUGAUGGGUUUGACGGUACCUCCAAAGUAAGCACCGGCUAAUUCCGUGCCAGCAGCCGCGGUAAUACGGAAGGUGCAAGCGUUGUCCGGAUUGACUGGGUGUAAAGGGCGCGUAGGCGGAGAUGUGUGUCGGGAGUGAAAUCGUGCGGCUUAACCGUACAAUUGCUUUCGAAACUACAUCCCUUGAGUACAGAAGGGGUAGAUGGAAUACCUGGUGUAGCGGUGGAAUGCGUAGAUAUCAGGUAGAACACCGGAGGCGAAGGCGGUCUACUGGUCUGUAACUGACGCUGAGGCGCGAAAGUGUGGGGAGCAAACAGGAUUAGAUACCCUGGUAGUCCACACCGUAAACGAUGAUCACUAGUCGUCGGAGGAUUCGACCCCUUCGGUGACGUCGCUAACGCAUUAAGUGAUCCGCCUGGGGAGUACGCUCGCAAGGGUGAAACUCAAAGGAAUUGACGG
rnacentral:rRNA from 1 species